rnacentral:SRP_RNA from 2 species
GCCAGGUGUGGUGGUGGGCACCUGUAAUCCCACCUACUCGGGAGGCUGAGGCAGGAGAAUCACUUGAGCCCAGGAGGUGGAGGUUGCAGUGAGCAGAGAUCAUGCCACUGCACUCCAGCCUGGGCAACAGAGUAAGACUCUGUCUUAA